CUCGGGGGCCCUACAAUUAAUACCCGGCGCCCGCCCGCCGAGCCGGGACUUGCGCGCCGGCUCUCGGGGAAGGAGGCGCCAGGUUAGCCCUGAGCAGCUCGAAGCUAGCUGUGCUAGGGCAGCUGCGACGACUGGGUGGGGGGACGUAUUUACUCUCCUGAGCCGAUCCCAGAGGUUGGAGCCGGGGGUCGUGUCGCCACCACCGAGGGCACGCGCGAGUGUGCGCCCCCGGCCAGCGGGGAACUUGGGCCAGCAGGUGGACCAGGGCGGCCCGGCUGGGAAGAAGAGUGAGAAGAUUCUAGCUAUACUGAAGACUGGUUGUUUUCUAAAAUUAGAGAAGCCCACGAAGAUUCGGUGAAUUCUCUGACUUUCAACUAACAGGAUAAAAGAGUUCAAGUAGAUAAGCUUGAAGAUGCAGAAAUCUGAGAUGAAUAGUUCUGAAGUUAACCCACAUCUGAAGCCAUGAUUUAAAAAAACAUCAGCAUUGAGGUAUGUCUUUGGGAAGGAAAUAAGAGUUUUGUGGUUUACACAUUGUUGCUUUUGCCUGCAUUCUGAGGACAGGUUAAGGCACAUCAUGAAGGGUGACUCUGUCAGAAUCACAUUCAAUGAACCAGAACUCUAGGAAAGUUUAAGUUCUAUGAUGGGCCAUGUGCCCACAAACAUACCAGGAGUGGAGCCAUUAUGAUAAUUAGAAAACUCUUCAUAUUUCUUCAGUGGUCCUGUGUCUUGAUGGACCCAUUAGGAACUCUGGGAAAGAAAAGGAAAACUUAAAAAUGUGAGUUUUCUUUUUGAACUGAGCUAUGGCCCUGAAAAUGCUUCCAGGAACUCAAAGUUAGACUUUUCAGUGCAGAAUGGGGGCAGAAGUGUACUUCCGGGACAGAGCUGUUUGACCUACCUUAAUGGGUCAGUAUCACAGCUUUCUAGGCCAUUAAUGCAGUGGGGGCAGGUGGUGGAAGAUGGGUUUAUACCCAAGUGAAUUUGGGAAACAAGUCUUUCUCAAAACUAAUGAGCUAUGGGACUCUCCAUGGAUGUGUGUUCAGUAGUGCUCACCAUAGUCCUAUGGAACUCUUUUCUUUUUGUUCAUUAGUUUUUGUAUACCAGCUGUGAAUUGUUAGAUGCUAGGAAUACAACAUAAAUGAGAUUAGCAGUGCUUGUGUAUACAGAACAAUAUGUUAACAGUAAAUAAAAAUAGUUAUUGAGAGGCUUGGUGGCAAGUGCUUAAGAGAAUGGUCUCUGGAGCAGUGUGGCCUGGUUUUAAUCCUGGGUCUGACAUAAACUUCAUGGCCAAGGGCAAGACACAAAGUCUCUCUAUCUUCAGUCUUACCUCUGAAACACUGAUAAUAGUAUCUCCUUUUUAGACACUGCUGUUGUAAGGACUAGUUACAAAUACGUGCUGGCAAAUACUAGAUUGUAUACAAGUGUCAUCAGAAUUUGUGCAAUAAUGCUCACAUAUGGUCAUAUAAUGAUCUCAUUCAUACUAUAAUGAAGACUACAUGAUUGACUCACUGGGGAGGAUAUGGUGAUGGGAGGGGAUGUCUGAACAAGACAAUCCAGGAAUGCACUGAAGGAGACCUUGUAAAAGUGAAAAAUGGAAAGCUCUACAGAUGGUAUGAGAAAAGCACCCAGAGGAAAAAGCAAGUGCAGAGGAAGCAUGUGACAAACUCCAGCACCUAUCAUGUUUGGAAAAAGAAAAUACGCUAAACAAACUAGGGCUAGAAGCAGACUUCUUCACCCUGAAAAGGACACUAUGAAAAAACUACAACUGUGUCAUACUGAAUAGUAGAAGGCUAAAAGCUUUUCUGCUACAAUCGUGGACAAGACAAGGGUGGCCACUCACAUCACUGAUAUUCAAUAUUUGCAAUGGUUAAUUUUAGAAGUCAGCUUGACUAGAUUAAGGAUACCUGAAUACCUGGUAAAACAUUACUUCUGGAGGGUUUUUCUUGAGGAGAUUGGCCUCUGAGUCAGUGGACUGUGUAGGGAAGAUCUGCCCUUUUUUGGGUGGCACUAGUCAAUCAACUGGGGACUCUGAUAGAACAAAUGGGCAGAGGAACGACUAAUUUCUUCUGUACUAGAGCUGGGACAACCUUAUUUUUCUGUCUUUGGACAUUAAAAUUUCAGGUUCUCUGGCCUUUGGACUCUAGGACUUGUAUCAGUGAUCCCUGAGUUCUCAGACCUUUUUGCCUAACUUGGACUGAGAAUUAUACCACUCCUUCCCUGGUUUUGAGGCCCCUGGAUUUGGACUGAACCAUGCUACAGGCAUCCCUGGAUUUCUGGCUUGCAGAUGGCCUGUUGUGUAAAUUAACCCCAUUAUCAGUAUCAUGAGAACCAAUGCCUCUGAUAAAUCACCUUUCAUCUAUCUAUCUAUCUAUCUAUCUAUCUAUCUAUCUAUCUAGCCAGCCAUCCACCCUCCCACCCAUCAUAUCAUCCAUCUUACUGGUUCCACUCUCUGGAGUGCUCCUCAAAAUUAAUGAGAUUAGAAAAGUAAUACAGUAUUAUUCUGGAAGUUCUAGCUAGAGUAGUUAUGUAAGAAAAUGAAAUAAGAGGCUUCCAGAUUAGAAAGGAAAAAUGUAAAAUUUUUUCAGAUGGCAUUAUCUUGUGUAUAGAAUGCCUUUAGGGAUCCACUAACCUGUCAGAAUUGAUAAGCAAGUUCAGCAGGGUUUCAGGAUAUACAAUCAAUAAGCAAAAAUCAACUAUUACUAUAUACUUGUAAUAAUGUAAAAUUAGAUUAAGAAAAUUAUUUUUAUGGUAGCAUAAAAAAUACUUAGGGAUAAAUUUUUGAAAAGGAAGCAAGUAUAAAAUGAGUAUUUUUAAAAACUAUAAAACAUUGUUGAAAAUUAGAAAAAAAUCCCAUAACAUCAAAAGCACAAGCAACAAAAGAAAUACAGAUAAAUCGAACUUCAUCAAAAUUUAAAACCUUUGUUCACCAAAGAACAGCAUCUAGAAAGUGAAAGGAAAACCCACAAAUCAUAUAUGUGAUAAGAGGCUAUAUCCAGAACACAUAAGGAGUUAGUAUGACUUAAUAAUAAGAAGACAUCCCAAUUCAGAAGGGUCUGCACAGUGUUUCUCCAGAGAAGAUGCUAAUGACCGUUAAGUACACGAGGAGAUUUUCAGCACUGGUAGCCAUGAGGAAGAUGCAGCACACCACAGUCGGAUACCGUUUUAUAAUUUUAUACCCCUGUGACAGAUGGAUGAUGACAAGUGAUGCUGAGAAUGCGGAGAAACUGAAACUCUUUUAUACUGCAGAUGGGAAUGAAGAGUAUUUUCAGAGUGAUUGUUUUGGAAAACUGAGUGGUAUUUCCUCAAAUAGUUAAGCAUAGAGUUAACUUUUGUUUUGUUGCAAUGCUGGGGAUUGAAACCAUGAUCUGAUGCAUGCUAGUCAAGUGCUCUACCACUGAGCUACAUCCCCAGCCCACAUAGGAUAGCCUUCAUAAGCUAGCAUAUGCAUUCCAAGAUAUAUACUCAAGAAAAUAAAAGCAUAUGUUUAUACAAAAAUACUAAUAUUUGUGGUGUACUAUGAUUUAUAAUACCCAAAGAAUGGACAUAACCCAAAAUGUCAACUGGGGAAAAGACAAAUAAAAUAUCAAAUAUCCAUACAGUAAAACAUUUGGCUAUGAAUAGGAAUGGAGCACUAAUGUGUACUACCAUGGGCAAACCUCGAAAAUAUGAAGUGAAAGAAGCUAGUCAGAAAAGAACAUGUAGUCUAUGAUUCUGUUUAUAUGAAAUUUCCAGGACAUGCAAGUCUUAUACAGGCAGAAAGUAGAUAAACGGGUGCCUACAAGUAGGGUAUAUGGUUGGAAAUUAGGAGGAUCUGUGAUUUCUUCUUGAAAUGAUGAAAAUGUUUAAAAUUGAUUUAGCAAUUGUCAUACAACUCUGAGUACUCUAGAAACCAUUGCAUCAUAUACUUUAAAUCAACGAAUAUAUAUGUGAAUUAUCUAUCAAUGAAAUUAUUAUAUUGAUAUAUGUCUUAGAGAUUUAAUCAUCAGUAUUUGGUGAUAGAUUAGAUUUAGUAAGUAGGGACAAAGUAGGAAUUAAGAAUGAAAUCAAAAUCAUGCUCUUGGGCAACUUCUGAGAAUGAGAGGAAAAGGGAUUUGUUUGUUUCAUUUUGUUUUGUGGCAAGGUGAGCUUUGAGAAUCUGUUUAGAUAUAUAUUAAGCUUGAAGUGCCUGUUAAAUAUUCAAACAGAGACAUUAGACAGACAGGUAAAGGUGAGUCUGGAACUCUGAGGAGCAAUCAAGACUGGAGGUACAAUUUAGAUUACAGGUAAAUCCAUUGGAAAAGAUGAACACACACACACACACACACACACACACACACACACACACACACACACCAUAUGCACACACAGGCACACAGUGUAUGCUUUCCAGAAACCUCAGAAGUAUACUGACCACCUACAUUAGUGCAUUCUUUCCUCAGGAUUCUUUACUAAUUUAGAUGGUGUGAAAACAAUUUUUUAAGAUAAACAUUCCUUCAAGUAGCAUCCUAAUUUUUCCAUUCUCUUGUGAAAAUACUACUUGGGAAAGGACAACUCAGUAAGCUAUAAAGCCCAUUUGAAAUGUUUUGAGCAAACCUUGUGGUUUGAGCAUGUGACCAAAGACUACUACUCAUUCUGGAUGAGUCUAAGCAGUGUUUGUUUCUUCUGUUACAAGAUGUGUGCUCAUACACACACACACACACACACACACACACACACACACACACACACACACACACAUAUAUAUUUUGGUGAGUCAGAUGUUAAAGUUAGAGCUGACUGUUGUUAACUAAAAUUUCUCUUACAUGGGAUAUUGAUAUCUAUCAUAAAACAAUAUUUUUUUAAAUCCUUUCUUUUCUCUGAUUGGUCUGGCAUGAAAAUAAGGAAUGUCCUUAUUUCGCUAACUUUGGUUAAAGGCUUCAUGGUAUAAGAGGGUUUUUUUGUGUGUGUGAGUGUGUGUGUUUAAAUGUAUGAACUUACAGUUGUUUGGUUAUGUUUUAUUAUAUAUGUUGGAGGCAUAUGUUGGGGGUUUUGAGAAAAAAAUUUUCAAUAUUACUUUCUCUAAAACAUUCUUUUUGUGGAAUAAGCAUCUUUAUUUGUUCUAGAAUCCAGAUCCACAGGGUUCCAUAGGGUUCCAUAGGGUUUAAACCUUUAUUAUUGUAAGAAAGUGAUUUUAGUAGUGUGGAUUACUUGAUUGGAGGUUAGAUUAUCACCCAUGAAGAAAACACUCUUUCAAAAAAAGCCUGAUUUUUUUAGAAUCCUUCUUUUUUUAGUUGUCCUGUGCCCAAGGUUUAGGACCUAAGCUAACCUCUUGCAACUUCCAGUCACAGGAGAAUAAGAGUGGUUAUCUGGGAAGAAUCAUUUGAACUUCAACCUGUUAUCUUUGCUGCAGGGCUAUACUAAAGGGCACUUUUGACUGCUUUAUUUUAGAAGAGUAAGUUGCAAAGGGAAAGGGCUCAGGAGGCUCUGCUCAGGACUCAUGGCUACUGGAGAGCAGCCUACAACCGGCCUUGUCAUGGCGGGAGUCUGGUCAGGUCAGUUUGCUUGUCUUCUAAUUGUUUUCAGAACCGGACUCGAUGAAGCAGGUGCUCCUGACAACACUACAGGUCAUUUAAUGGAGAAGUACUAGUUCUACUCUUCCUGCUAAGGGUGGAUCGGUGCAAAUUGCUUUGUUUCUCAAAACAUCUUAUUUGUCUUGGGCAGUAGCCAGGCCUGUAAUGUGGGUGGUGUGUGCUGUGUCGCAAACCUCAGGCCCCAAAGCUUGAGCGUUACUUUGUUUGACAGAUCAAAUGAGUGUGUACAAAACAGGCGGAAAGCCUUCGGGAGACUACAGGGGGCAAACAUCAAGGGAUGUGUGUGAGCCUGUGUAGACAGCCCCAGGCAGAUGUCUGAGGUGCCAGCAAUGGUGCCAUGAAGAGAACCAAGUGGGAAGGUAAGGGACUUGGGAUUUUCUAAAGUAGCUCCAUUUGGUUGCAUUUUGGAAACCAGUUAGUAUUUAAUGGGUUGAUGGGAAGCUUAUUUGGUCAUCAUCCCCUUUUUAUUUCCUGGCAAUGAUUUUUGGACGUUGAUCAUGAAAUUAGCUUAGAGCAGUUCAAUUAAAAAUGUCACUAAUUAACUUUUUAAGUAAAAAGAUGUUUUGUUUGUUUGUUCUUUACUGCUGUCAACCACCAAAAAGGUCAAGUGUAUCCAACUCUUUAAGUAGAAAAAACUAACCAGCAUUAAACAUCCUAAGGGAAUUUCUUUGCUUCAGAUCUUUUAUUAGAUCCAAUUUCAUCUGAGACCUAACUUAAAAUUUACCACAGAACAGGAAGCAGAAACCACGGAAGUCUCUAAAUAUACCUUUGUACUUCUCUGCUCCUCACCUGCUCUCUCUCCCUUGCCACUUGUGUACACGCACAUACGCAUGCGCAUAUAUCCCUAUCUGUAUUUGCAUGAAAAAUAGGUACGGGCAAUAAAUGUAAAGUGCAAUACAAUAAAGUGAGUGGUUGAAUAUCAGUUGGAAUGAGGCUUAAUUUUUUUAUUUCACUUUCAUAUGGAUAGUUUUACUAAUUCUCUUUUCUGGGCUUAAGAUUUUUCAUUCUUUGGCCCUGGGAGGGAGUUGUAUAACCAUAAAACUUGAGAAUCCUGGCCCUGGAAUAAAUGUUCCUUUUAAAACCCCAAGGACAGAAAAUUGAAUACAGCUGUGCAAAAAAAAAAAGGAAAGAAAAGAAAGAAGAAGUUGAGAGAUGGUUCAGGGUUGCAGGCUCUCUGACCAGCUUUCCCAGUGCAAUUGGGCUGUGGUUUCUUGGAGAUGAAAGGCAGGGAGCUUCGGUGUUCUUUGUGAAGGGUUCACAGGAAAGCCAAGACUUCCUUUAGAACUGUGUGUCUCUGGAAUAUGGAUAAGAGAGCUUUCUCACUGGUAUAGCUGUCUGUCAUCUUGUUUGUCCUCUACAGAUUCUACAGUUUUUCCUGCAGAGGAUUGGGGUUACUAGGCAAUCUUCUGAGAUGUCAUGAUUCCAUAAACCUUGAAGUUCUCACUAACAAGGAAGCUUCAGAGCUUAAACCCUUUAUAGCAGAGUCAGAAUACAGAACAGAACCAAGAUCUUUGAGAGUCAAAUUUCCACUCUUUGGCUCCCACAGUCAUGGAAUUUUCCUCGGUACAAAACAACUGUAAAGUGUGGUCCUGAGAACAUGGCACUGUUCCUUGCUCCUCCUCCCUGGGGAUGGAAAUCAGGAUGCUGGCUUCUCUGAUGUUUGCCUGGUGGGUCCUGCUGUUUGGUUUGCAGCUGGUGGGGAGGCAUCCUCGUGGACCCUAACCUCUGUGCGGCCUGGCAUUAAUCACUUUCCUCUCUGUCAGAGCAUGUAAUGAUGAUUCAUACUUCUUCCUCUACAAGAUUAGAUUACUGUAAUUUUCAUAUCCUGCAAUGCCCACUGGGGAUUUGAAUUAAUACAUGUUGGUACAGAAAGCAGGAUUGUGUUUCUGGGGAGAAAGGAGUGAACUUGCCCACUUGGCCAUCGUCUGAAAACUUUAGGGAGGGCCUCUCUGAAAAGCAAUCCUGCCUUGAGGGCUUACCACGUCAAUCAGUUUUGCAUGCAGCCUCUCUGUGCAUAUGGUCCCUGGGCACUGGAUUUGCAUAGGGGAUGCCAAGCCUACAAGAUCUGCAUGCCAGGAGGGUUUCACAAGAGAGCCCCAUAUUGAAAUCAGACACUGCUUAAUGAGGAAAAUCUUCCCCAGAGAGGUAUUUGGGACGCAGGCAAAGCAAUUCAGGCGUGUGGAACCAUCUGCUCAAAGCCAGCAAGGAUUACGACCACAGGAUGGGGAGCAGGGGAACCAUGAGGAGCAAAGUAGCCUUUAAAAAAGUCUUAAGUUUGGUACUUUCCCUAGAGAUCAUAUGUUGCUCAUUUUGUUCUUUUAGCAAAUAUGUAUCCAGCACUUACUGUAUCAUACUAGGCACUGUUCCAGGCUCUGGAGAUAGACAGCAGUCCACAGGCAGACAGAAAUAUCUAUCCUCAACAUAGUCACAGUUGAGGGUAGGAGUCACUGUGUCACUGAGGGUAGGAGUGUGUUUUAUAAAGCUAAACUUAUUCAAUUGGUUUCCAUCUCUCUCUGUUCUUGAACUUUUGUUAUCACAAAGGUGUGUUCCAGGUGCCUAACUGGAGCCACAGAAACAUGUGGAGGUGUAACAUGCAACCAUCCGGUGUUGCAGAAUUGUCUGUUCCAUGGUUCUACUUUAUUACAAGCUAUCAGGCUUUUGUGGGCUGGCCAAGGAUGCAACCAUCACUUUUGUUUCUGGCUGAGGGUGAGAAAAGAACCCUCAUGGGGCUGGUGAUCACUGGCCAGCUGCAGUAUAUGGGGUUGCUGGUCUAUGGGGACUGAGAGAGCAUGCUCCUAGAAGGUCAUCUUGCUUCAUGUGUCUGGUGUGACGAUGCUUUUCUAUCCUUGAGAAGAACCAUAGGUACUUCACGUUUUUCAUUCAGGAAUAAGAAUGAUCCAUUCUCUGGCUGGGCAUGGUGGCAUAUGACUAUAAUCCCAGCAACUCAAGAAGUAGGACAAUUGUGAUCUAAGACAGGUCAGGGUAAAAGUGCAAGAUCCUAUUAGAAAAAAAAAAACUAAAAAAAGGAAAAGGGGCUGGGGCAUGGCUCAAGUGGUAGAGCACUUGCCUAGCAAGUGUGAGCCCUGAGUUCAAAUCCCAGUACUGCCAAAGAAAGGCUCAUUUCCCCCUUGGCAAUUGGGACCAGCAAAAGAAAUCUCUUGUGGUGCUAAGCGUUGUGAUUUCAACAAAAAAGAAGGCCGGAGGUCUUCUCUGGUGUAGGGAAUCCUUGCUCCAUAGACAGCGGCAUCAUCCUCAGCUCACAGCCCACUUGAGUGGAACCCCUAGGGUUCUGCCAUGUGACUACUUGCUGCUUGAGAGCAGACAGAAACCCCAUAUUUUUAGAUACAUAACAGCCUAACUGGAGCAUGUCACACUUUGUAUAUCUCCGAUUACUUGCAAGACUCUGAGCCUGGUGUCCAGGAAUGCGUUCUGGAGCAGUCAAAUGGGAGGGUGCAUCUCUGGAGCAGGGACAGGGCUCACCCCUGGCAUACUCACAUUUCAUUUGACCAUGAGGCCAGCAGUCCCGUCUGUGCUAAGCUUUGCUGCAUACCCAUUGCUCUGGACUGCUGCCUGGGAAGAGAUGAUUGGCUUGAGAAUCAGUGGUUCUAGUCAAUGACUUACAGUUGACCUUGGAGCUCAGAGAUCAUCCUCUAAAGCCAGGGAAGCUUCCCAUAAGCUUUCAAAAAAAGAGAGAGCAGACAGACAGACUCCACUGAUGAUUGAUUGAUUGAUUACUAUUAUCUGAGAGAGGGAGCUUAGGGGGUGAAUUCAAGUAUGAUGUAUUGGAUACAUUGAAAGAACCUUUGUAAAUGCUACAAUGUACCCACACCCAGCAUAAUAAUAAAAAAUAUUGCUAAAUGAAACUAAUAUUCCCUUUUGUUGUUAAAAAAAUCUACUCACAAACAAAAUUACUUGGUUUUGGUGCAAAUGGCCACCUGUUAGACUCAGACUGGUGUAUCAGAGGUUAGGAGACAACGCAUAUCCUUUCUUCUCACAUACAUGUCAAAACCCUAAGUUUAUUGAGAAAAUGAAAUGAUCUCAAGUCUCGUCCUGAACUUAAGACAGAAUCCAGGUCCUGUUUGCCUAGCCUUUUCAUCCCCUAGAAAUGAACAGCUUAUAAAAGACUUCCAAUGAUCGCUCAAGUUCAUUGGCAUUAGAAAGCAGAGCUCUGUGGAAGGCAGAAGCAAUUAGAGCUUUGUUGUCUUGCUUCCCUGUACUGACAGCUCUGGUCAGGGCUCUGAUGUCAUUGUUACUUCAGAAACAGAAGGGGAAAAACAAAUUCAAAACCACGUGAACCAGCCACACCUGUUUCACUUUCUGCUUCUGAACUGUGGAGUGAACCUAGCCUUGUCUCCAGCUCCAGGGAUUAUGUGUUGAUUAAUGAAACCUGAAAAUCUGGAGACUGUUGUAGCUGAAUUGAAAUGAGAAAAAGAAAUCUGACCACAAGAUAUUCAGAUCUUAGUUUUCAGUCUCCAUAUCAUAAACGUUUAUUACAUUUAUGGAGUGGUGGAUAUUGCCAGGUUCCAUGGAUACAGAGAUAAUGGAGUCUCCCUGCCUUUUCAAGGUCAGGGAAGGGCAAAUAGGAGGGUUUAAAAUCAACUGAGUCUCGAAGGAUGAUAGGGCUUUUCUAAGUGGCAAGAGCAAAGAGACAUUCUCGGCAGACAGAACAGCCUGGCCGUAGUAGGUUGAUUCACGUGGCUUCUCAUGAUUGGGUGCAGGUGACCUGCUGGGGGGUGGAUGGGGUGACAUACCACCAAGGAGGUGGGAAGUGGCCAGCUCAGAGAAGGUAAGGACUUCGGAAUUUAUUCAGCAGACCUGCCAUCUCUGCCUCUGUGCUUUGGUUGGUUUUCCACUAGAUUUAUCUAAGUGUGAGGUUGGUAACAAAGCAAGUUGUCACAGUUCCAUGUAAUCUUCCCAACACUGAACAACAUAACCAUUAGUGUACAUCACUGCAGUUCAGGUGGAUAUGAGAUAAUCUCUAGGUUAAGUGUAAUUUCCAAAGUAGUAAUAACUGGGGAAAUUUUUCCUCCUAUGGAUGAAUAUUUAUAUGCAAAGUGACAAUGAAUUUUUGUGUGUGUGUGUGUGUGUGUGUGUGAUUCUAGGAGUUGAACUCAGGGUCUCUUGCAUAUGAGGCAGAUGCUCUACCACUUGAGCCACAUCUCAGUACUUUUGCUUUUAGUUUGUUUUUCUAAUAGGGUCUCAUGCUUUUUCUUCAAACCAAGAUCCUCCAACCUCCAUCUCCCGAGUGGGAUUAUAGAUCUGUACCACCACACAACUGGACCAACAGAGAUUCUUUUACAAGGAUGUACUUCUAUUUGUUCUUCAAAAAAAUUAAUUUAGAAAGUUUGUCAAGGACUGGAGGUAUGUAGUGUUUGCCUAGCAAGCUCAGGUCCUGAGUUCAGUUCCCAGUAUUGAAAAAAAAAUUUGUCUCCAUUAGUGAGAAGUAACUGCUAUCCACCAGCCCAUGGUGGGAGAUGCUAGAGGAGGGAAGAAGAAUUUGGACUUCAUGACUCCAUGAUUCAUGGGUACUACUUGAGUCAGUAGUCCUGGCUCCAGCCCAUGAGAGCCUCAGCAGGGAGUGAAAGUAGACAAGAAGACUAAAGUUCAAGCAGCCAGUCUUGAUGACUGCUGAGAUUUGAGUGACAAUUCUGGGUUGGGUGGCCAAAUAGUGGUGGUGAGGUUGUGUUCAGUCAGGAAAACAGGAUCAAUUUUCAUGGUUAAUGAGGAGUGCGGCAUCAUUUGUCUUGAAUUUCAUGUUCCCGUGAGGUGACCUGGUAUUCUCAACUCCACGGUAUCGGUACCACCCACUGCCUGAGUUCCAAAUCCUGGGACUUAUGUAGACAUUUGAGGGAGUGGUCAGACAGAGAGGAAGUGAAGCAACUGGGGAAGACACAAGGAGGGCUGCAGAAAGUAACAUCAAAGACUUUUACUAAGAGGACAGUUCUUAAAGGCGGAAGUGGUCAGACAGCGUCUGAUGUCCCAGAGUGGCCAAGUGCAGAUGAGGCAUCGGGAGAGUCAGUGUUGGUGAGAGCCCUUUCUAGGGUGUAUAGGAAACUGGGGCCAAAUGCAGAACUGAUGAGAAUCAUCUGGGGACUGGGAAGAGGAGGCGGGACUUGUGGAAGACUAGUGGUGAUGAAACAGAAUAAGGCAGGCCAGAGCUUGAAGAGCAAGGCAAAGCAGAAGGACUUUUAAGGCACAGGAGAUGAGAGGCACAGAGCAUAUUCCUGAGCUUGUACUGCCCUCUUCAAUGAACUCUUAGGAAGCCUCAUCCUUCCCAUGCAUUGCAGAGCAUUUCCCAGUGCUCAUCACUCCUAAAACAAAAGUCUUGCAUAAAUCCAUUUGGCCCAAUGUUGGAUAUAGGCCUCAUGCUAUGGACUCUGAAGGGCACUGAAGCACUCUGACCAUCUGUCCAGUCUACUGUUUGGAAGGCUUGACUAUCAUAGUGCAAUUUUAGCUUCAAGAAUAAGACUUCGAAGACUAUAAAACUAAACUUGUUUUCUUUGAUAUUUAUAGUAACAUUAAAAUUUGAGAUGAUCCAGUGUCCUCUCUUUUGAAGGAGUUGUUUUCUUGGUAAUUCUCAAGUGAAGGUCAGAUUUUGUGAAUUUAUAAUCUUAGACAAUGAACUGAACUUUGAAAAAUGUGGAUAUCCUAUUUUGUUAUUGGAUAGGCCCUAGGUCUUGCAGGUGCUCUUUUGAACUGGCCAUAUAAUCUGCUAUAAUAGUCAUUUUUUUGUUACUAUAAUGAAAUACCUGAGGCAACUGACUCAUAAAGGUUCCAGUCCUAGACCAAGUAGACCCAUGUUUUAGGACUGUGGCAAGGGCAGCUCAUCAUGGUGGGAGUGCAUGGCAGGAUUCCAGUCACAAAAAGCAAAAAGAGAAAGAGGAUGGGCAGGGUCCACAAUCCUUUUCAAGAGUAUACCCUCAAUGACCUCAGGAUCUCCCAUAAGGCCCCACCUCCUAGAGGGUCACAGCAUCUUCCAAUAGUACCACCCUGGGAACCAAAUCUUUCACACAUGGACCUUUGGAGGUCAUUCAGUAUCCAAACUGUAACACCUGCCAAAUUAAUAUAUUCAGUUGGAAGGCAAUACUUCAAAUUUCUUAUUCUUUACCAAAUAUUUUACUUUGGAUCAGACUUCCAUUCUUGAAGGGUAAAGGAAAUACUUCCAUUUUGAAGUCAUUUUGUUUUUCGUAGUACUGAGGAUUGAACCCAGAGCCAACCUGAAGUUCUUAAAAUGACAUUGAUAGUAGGUAAAUCCAUGUAGAUUUAUGUGAAGCACAUUAUAGUGAGUAGCCUAUUUACAAAUGAAUUGUACUUGGAAGUUUUACUUAAAGUAGGAUUGUUUUGGGGGUUGAGCAUCUUUGAGAAAACAUUCUGUUAAAUUUUUAAUUUUGACGUAAUUGUAGGUUCAAAUGCAGUUGUAAGAAAUAAUACAGAGAUCCUGUGUACCUUUACCCAGUUUCCCCCAGUAAGACCAUCUUGCAAAACUAUAGAACACUCUCACAACCAGGACAUUGACACUGACACAGUCAAUAGAAAAGUAGAAGAGUUCCAUAGCAAGGAUCCCUCAUGUUGCCCUAUUAUAGCCACCUUCCCCUCAUCUCUAACCUCUGAUCAACCCUAUGUCUUCUCUUUUUCUGCAAUGUUAUCUUCUGGUGAAUGUUAUAGAAAUGGAAUCAUACUACAGCUAACAUUUUGGAAGUGACUUUCUUUCACUCAGCAUAAUUUUCUGGCUGUUUAGCUAGGCCAUUGCUUAGGCUACUGUAUGAAUAGUUUGUUCUUUUAUACUGUUGAGGACUGUUCCAUGAUAUAUCCAUACCACGGUAAAGAUUAAAUUAUUUUUUUUUCUGUCUUUGGAUGUACAACUCUUCCAGCACUAUUUGUUGAAAGGCAGGGAAAUAAGUUGAGCAUAUUCAUGUGAGGCUAUCUUUCUGUUCUUUAUUCUGUAGCAUUGAUCUGUAUGUGUCUUUCCCUUCAUCAAUGGCCACACUAGAUAGUAGUCCUUCAUAUGGGGUGGGAUGAUUCACUUAGUAUUUUUUUUAAAGAUUAUUUUGACUAAUCUAGGGCCUGUACCUUUAGAAUAAGCUUGUCUGUAGCUGCCAAAAAUUCUUGCAGGGUUUUGAUAAGAAUUGCAUGAAACUUAUAGAUCAAUUUGGACAGAAUUGAUGUCUUUACCAUAUUGACUCUUCUGAACCAUGAACAUGGUAUAUGGCUGCUUAUUUAUUAAGAUCAUCUUGGAUUCUUUUCAUCAGCAUUUGUAAUUUUAGCAUAUAGAUGCUUCAUAUGUUUAGUGGAAUUUCUCAAUAUUUUGUUUUCUUUGGGAUGAUUGUAAAUUGUAUUAUAUUUUUAAUUUGGUUUUUCACGUGUUCAUUGUUGGUGUAAAAUAGGUGUCAUGGAAAUGUGAAUGCAGCUUUUCUUAGAAACUAUAUCAUGAAUAUUCAUGGUAUAUUAGCCUACAGCACUCAGAUUAGAAUUCAUAAUGAAAUUGAUAUUACAGUUACUGGAAAGAAUAGGAGACUGCAAUAUUGUUAUGAUACUAAUAUUAAAUAAUGAGAGAUGAGCAAGUUACUUAUCAAAUAUCUUGGUACAAAUCUUGUUCCGACUUCAAAUUAUAACUCAUCAUAUAUGACUUUUCCAUCUUAUGUCAUUUUAUGGAAAGAAGUAACUGUAAUGGGAGUUUUCCCAGUUAGUAAGAAAAUUGAGGAAAUGUUUAAGCACAUUGCAUGGUUAGAAUUAACUGGGAUUCAGACCCUGGGUUCAAACCCCAAUACCCCGAGAGAGAGAGAGAGAGAGAGAGAGAGAGAGAGAGAGAGAAUUAACUGGAAUUCAAAUAAUGAAAGACAAAAAGGAUAUAUAAAGAAAUAACUAAGAAGAAUUAUUUUAUUUGACUCCAGCUCACAUUAUUCCAGCACUGUUUGGUUGGUACAGGGAAGCAAUGAGCAACAAUUGAAGAGGCAAAAGUGCAAUGUUUAUUCUGUGGCAAUGAAUCUUUUUUAGGUAAAGAAAACUGCAUUUUGUGGUAAUAGUGAUUCACUUUCCUCCUCCUGCCUUUUCCCAGAUAGUCGACUGUUGUUAUGUACAUUGUUACUUAUUUUCUACCCUGCUUGUCUGCUCAUAUAAGUACAUAAAAUAAAAUAAACUUAAAAAUGAGGGAAAGGCCAAAACUGGUCAAAAGGAAAAUAAGAUGAGAGCCAAGAAUGUUAUUAGGAUGCAAAAGUCCUGCUGUGAAGUUUUGUUUGUUUGUCAUCUGGAAGUGGGUAAAAAUUUUGGCUUGGACAAAUUGUUUUUAACCCUUGCAAAAACAGUCAUGCAGCCAAUGUCUAUCACGCCUGUCCAGGGUAUCUGCCGUCUUUUAUUUUUUGUUAAUUGGCACAUAAUUGUACAUGUUUAUGGGGCUAAGGUUUAAUGUUUUGAUAUACAUAGACAUUGUGUAAUGAUCAAAUCAGAAUAUUUAGCUUAUUCAUUACUACAAACAUUUAUCAUUUCCUAGUGAUGAGAACAUUCAAAUUGCUGGCUCCUAGAAUUGUGAAAUAUACCAUAGAGCCAUGCCAUUUUUUCACAUGGCCACAAGUUUGUCCAGUUAGGGUUUAGGCAUUGUCCUUCAGGGUUCAUUAGUAACAGGAAUUCAGACCAUGCUUUGGGAGGCCUCCCUCCACCAACAGAUGCAGCUGGUGGUCUGGGAUCACUGACGCUCAGAGGCAUACCACCGGGAGGCCCUGUGAGGCACAGCUUUUCUCCAGCCCAGGACGUACGAGCUUUGUGAUUUCCAUUGAAGGGAACACAAUUAAGACUGUUCCUCUUGGUGACAACAGGGACCCUUACCAUUGUAAGUAUUUUUGUAAAUGCAAUUGUAAUGUCUAGUUUUAAUGUUUAUAAAACAUAGAUGGCCUUUGAAGAAGUGGUUGUAAUUGUUGGAUUUUUUUCUUUAGUUAAGGCCAUCUGGUUUUUAAGUGACAUGAAUAACCUGAGAGCCAUCGGGAUAUAGUCUCAGCAGGUCAGAGGAAUGACUUUGAUUUUAAGCAAAAUAUUUGCGCUGAUUUAGAGCAAGUACUUCCUGCAUGAUUAUUUCUUCUAAUGAUUAAUUUUUCUAGAAAGAUAGGAAAAGGUAAGCAAUCCAUAGAGAGCUACAGAAUUGUAAGUGUGCAAAGAGACAUUUGUCGUGAUGGCAUGCUGUUUAAUACACAAGUGGCUAUCCAUCCUUCUGCUUACUUUGGGGUUGUUCAUUCAGUGUGUCACAUUGAUGUUGUGUCCAUCAUCAGUGCUGAUGUGUUCUUUCUCCUGAUCUAAAAGCAAGAGUUAGAGACAUGUUUGACCAUCCAAUUCUGUAUUGCUGUAGCCUGUUCAGUCAACUGCUGUCAUGUUUUUAAUUUAUCUAUAAAAACCAAAAGAAAGACAAUGUGGACAGUUGAGUUGCCUUUUAAGUGGCUGCGGGCCAGCCUGUGGCAACAGCUGAUGGGCUCCUCUGAGUUUCAGGAGCUAUUUCUGGUAGAUUAGCUGGUAUCAAGGCUCUCAAGUUCAGGCCAUAAAAGGCCGGUCCCAUGUGGAGUUGCCACAUUGCCUCUGACCACGUCCUCCAGACUAAAGUGUCCUCAGGUUUCACGUGGAUUUAUCCCAUAAUGGAUGGCUCCGCCAAGGCCAGAUUGGGAAAGCGCAGCCUUGAGGACACCAGGGGACUGAAAACUCCUAAGAGGAGACGCUUUUUGUUCAUGUUUUGGUGUUCUUUUUGCAAAGAAACUUUGGGGAUGUAGCCUUCACCUAUUUCCUGAGUCUGGCAUCCUCACUUGCCUUUUGGAAAGCACCGUUCUAAAUUUAUCCCGCUCUGAAUCAUCGCUUCUGAUAGAGGCGGCUGCCUUGUGUGCAUUGUGAUGGCUGCUGAUUUCCUACCGUGUCACUCGGGCUAACAGGAUAUUUUACUUUUUUGCUUAGAAUUUGAAAGUAACAUUCAUUGAAGAGACUCAGUGAAAAUACUCAAGGACAUCCUUGAGUCCUAGGGGAUAUAGCCUGUUUUAUUUUUUUAAGUAGAAAAAUAAGGAAUUGCAGUGUGAUUUUUCCUUUGCCCUUUCACUUAGAGGAGCAAGGAUUAUACAGACAUUUAAAGUAAGUGAAAAAUCUUUCUAUAACUCUAGGUGCAUUUUUAAGUGCCACUUGUCUGAGCAUGCUUCCUAAGGAUUUGUUCACUUCAAGUAUUGGAAUGUUUCUGCCAGCAUUUGCUAGUUUUAUUGGAAUCACUCUGGCAGGUAUCCUUGGGCAUAUUUUUGAGGUCUGGAAGGAUUGGGUUUUUUUUUUUUUCUCUUAAAAACCAGAGAACUGACUUUAUAACAUAGAGAGGUUUAUUACUAACCUUUUGAUUAAUAUAACUUAGAAAAUACAUUUUGUCUAAAAAUUAGGACUUAAAGUCUUCGAAUUCAAGUAUAUUCCCACUACAAAGUACUUCAAUCAUUUCCCAAGUGAUGGGGUGGAAUUCUGAAGUGCAAGUUGUAUUUUACUCCUGCUACUGUUAUUAUCAAUUUAAUUAUUAUUGUCGUGCUGGCGAUCAAACCCAGGGCCUUAGGCAUGCUGAGUUUGCACCCCACCACAGGGCUACACCCCCAGCCCUCACUCUUUUUAUUAACUCACAUGGAAAUAUAAAUCACUACUUAUCCUUUUGUCUGAUCUUUGUUUUGAGGGGUUUUGUAAGAAAAUCUCACUUGAGGUUCUAGAUUUUGAGCUGUAAUUCAUUUUUAAAUUCUCUUGGUGGGGGUUGAAAUGCUGUAAGGGCCUUCUUUCAUCCUUAGCAAUAGCUCUGGUCUCUGUAAUUUAGUUUAAUUUGCUGCUGAAAGAUAGGACAUUUAAGGCUGAUUCGACAACAUGCUCCUUUAGGGAAAAAAAAGUAUUUCUUUAUACCAUAUCAGAUGAACAAAGAUGAGCAGCAAUUAUUUUUAUCAGGUAGAAAAACAAAAUAUUUAUAAGAAAAGCAUCAUUGGUGAACACUGCUAUUGUUCCCCGGAAGUAGCACCAUCCCCCUAGGGGGUGUGGGGAAACCCUGGGAGGUAGAUUUCCCUGUAACUACUACUGACCCCUGGAGGAAUUCUUUUCGAAAUUGUAAAUCGCAAUUUACAUGCUGUCUGUAAAUACGUAGACUAUUACCCUGGCCCAAGUAUUGGGGGUGUCCUUAGUGGAGAAGCAGUGCAGGUUUUGAAUCAUGCCCUCUCCUCCAGCAAGAAGCAGCACAGUGCCUGGCCUACUGGGGCUUCCUUUUCUUGCCAAGCCAGGUGAACUCUUGAGGAGGCAAGUGGUGAUUGUCCUGCCAGCAGUAGGUCACCCACGUCGCUCUUCUGAGGAGGAGUGGAGGAGACAUUGGGCAGAAAGAGGCUGUUGGUUUUGGACUUGCUCCUUUCUGUUAGGGCAUGGUAAUGCUUGUCAGCUGGCCCUCAGGGAAAAGCUUUUUAGAGAUUAUUCAGGCUGGUCCCAACAGCAUAGUCAUCCAAGUAUGGUGGACAUCUGUUUCUCAUCCAACCAACAGUCACUUAUCUUUGCUUGUAUUCUUGGUAGCCAGGCCUCUGGAAGGCUUCGAACAUCAAUCCAGCAUGCACAUCUUUUGCCACACCUGGAGCCACUUAAUAUUCUACAGUCCAGGACUUGCGUGCAAAAGAAGGGCCUUUGAACUUGACAGGCAUGGUGGGUGAGCUGCGGCAUGCCGGCAUCAGAGGCACGAAGCAGUGAGGGAGUGUGAGCACCACCAGUCUCCUUUUAUGGGUGGAAACUGGUUUGGUUCAGAGGAAGUCAUGUUCCCAUGUUAGGUGCCUGAGCCAUUAGGGCUGUCCUUGCAAUUUUAUUUUAAAGAUGGUCUCAGGAAGUCUUCAUCUAGACCAAGUCUCUCUCCCAGUGUGGAGCUUUCGAGAAGUUUUGGGCUUCAGUUUUGUGACUGAACCAGAAACCUUGUCACCAUUGACAUCCCUCGCUAGAGAUUCUCAAGGCCUCUGUGUCUGUCUCUGACAGGACGGUCUUGAUCCACCACCUCCUCUCCACCUCACUGCAUCUUUCCUGGGACAUUGCCCUUCAUGGGUCUUUUUGCUGACUUCUCCUCUUGUCUAGUCUAUGUUCACAACAAUCUUCCUAGACAAACACCUGACCUUGUCACUCUAAAUGCUGGUGUUCAUGGCUCCUCACUGCUCCAGCUAAAGUUCAGAGUCCCUGAUCUCACCUUCAGGGUCCUUCAUACCAGUGUGAUUUGCUGGCAACCUGCCCUGAAAUGCUGUGCCUUCCCUUGCCUGCUGGAGAAAUGACAGCACAUGAGAUGUGCCCAAAGCAUCCUUUGACUGUCUGUCUUUGGCUCCAGAGCUUUGAAUUUCAGCCUGCACUACAGGGCCACUGGUAUGACAUCCCGUGCUCCUUUCCUCUGGUGGGGGGGAGGGGAGUGCCCAGCAAAGCACCUGGGGCGCAGACUUCUUGCCACCCUACCCAGUAAGCAUGCCUCAUAGGGAGUUGACUCAAUUGAGUUGAAUCCUAAUGACAUGUGGUUUCUUCAGACCAGAAUUUUGCUGUGUUCCUUUGAACCCUUACGUUGUUUGUUAGUAUUCAUUGGAGAGAAAUGGUUCUGUGUUAGAAAUGCUCCUUUAUUUCCCUUCUAUCUAAUAAUGCAAGCAGAAAGAUUUGUUUCCUGGUAACAAGCCUGGUGGGGUUUCUGUACACACGCUUUGGCAGCGCAGGAAAUUGAGGUGCAAUGGGUGAAAUCAGCCACUUCAUUACUGGAGCCUUGCCUGAAAUGAGCAAACUCGCCAGGUCCUUGACUUAGGCUCUUUUCCCAAGCCCUAGGCUUCAUCUUAGGUAACACAUCUUGGGAGUUACUUGCACUGUUGGCCUCAGGACAGCACCUUGAUAUACUUCAGAAAGAUCACUAUCCCCUGAGAACACUCCCUAGUGGUGGAGGUUUUGAAGAGACACGCAUUUUGCCUCAUUAUUUGCAUAUUCUCUUCUUAAAGUCAAUCCUUUAAUCCCAAACAAGUUCAUAACCUAUGUCUGACUGGUUUUGUGUAAAUAGAAUAAAAAGCCACAGUUCUGAAAUUUGCCUUGGGAGCACUGACUCGUGUUACAGCUUUGGAUUUGUUCAUUUCACUACCUAUUUCGUGACUAUUUCACCUUCACAGAGCUCUGGGAUGGGAGGCAUGGGAUGUGGAAGACUGAGAGUGCUCCCUGUCCUUUGUCCUUCAUUCUCUAGAGGAGCUCACACAGAGACAUAGUGAAGCUCCUGUGCCCAUCGGGCUGGAAGUGCUGCACAGUAAUUAUGGUAAUUACCAUAAUGACACAAUAACCACAUGCCAUCCUUUGUUACUGUGUGCCAGACUCCAUGCCAGGUUCAUACCUAUGCUAUAGCACUUAGUUUCUAUCAUAGUUCCUGGGAAAUGUUAGCAUUGUGCCCAUUCUACUGAGGAAUGAACACACUGAGACUCAAAGAGGCUUGCCCAAGGACACACACCUCAGAACUGGGGAGAACUUGAUUUGAACCAGAUCUCUCUGACUUCACCACCCACAUUCAUAACCUCUGCUGUAAACCAGUGUGGCCCAAAUUGUAAUAGCAAUUGCCUGCAGUCUAAGUCUAAUUUUGUGAGACUGGGUAAUUUGUAAUAAAAAGAAAUGUAUUUCUUACAGUUCUAGCAGCUGGGAAGUACACACCUCAGGGCUGUGUCAGGUGGGGCCUUCUUGCAUCAGAGUUCCAGGGCAAUAACAAUGACAAAGCCAUUCUUGAGGUAACCCAACCAAUCUAUCAAUCCAUACUGGGCUAGAGUACAAAGCUCUACUGAUCCAAUUGCCUACCAAAGGUCCCAACUCCAAAUACCAUUAACUUAGGACCUUGGGGAUUCAGUUUCCCAUCCAUGAAGUUUGGGAGACAAAUUCAAGCCAUGGCACCUGCCAUCUUGAUACUAGCUCUGUAGAUCUGGGGUGGGACAGAGACAAAUCCAGAUGCUGCUGCUGGGGGUUGUAGCUCGGGGUAGAAUGCUUGCCUUGCAUGUGCGAGGACCUGGGUUCCAUCCCCAGCACUGCAAAAAAAAAAGAAAAAUUUUAAAAAGCUCAGUUUUCGGGUGCUGCUGAUGUGUCUGGUUUGAGGGCCAGCUGUUCUGCCAUCAGAUAAGAAGUUCUGCCUUAAAUUACUUCCUUGCAGAGCCACAGAGAUGGAAGCUACCAGGUGUGUGAGGAGAGGUGGGGGGCUUUGGAAAGGUGUCCUGGGGCAGAGGUGGGCUUCCCAGGUUAGCCUCAGUGCUCAUCAUGCCAGCUCUUACCCAUUUCCCUGAUUUUCUCCUGGCUCUGUCUCUGCAUGCUGAAAACAUACUCAGAUUUCUCCCAUUAAGAUGGCCUCCAGCCCUUACCCCUCUUCUCCCCACCUGGUCACUCCUCAGUGCCCACUCGAGAUGUUCUGUUCUCUCCCCUCAGACCUCUGUGGUCACCCAGUGCUCUGACCUCCCCAAGGCUGACCUUGGAGCACCUCUUUGUAAGGAUCCCAUCUUAGGCCUAGGAGAGUGACAGACUGGCCUCUCCAGUCCAUGUGCAUACUGCUGUGUUCUCAAGUUCCUCUCUGGGCCUUAUUUUAUAUUUAUUGUGUGUUUUCAUUGGUUUUGUUUUUAUAUUUUACACAUAUUAAUUCAACAUUUGAAUGGUAUUCAGUGUGAUAUUUGAUCAGCAUCAUUGUGUGCUGAUCAAAUCCAACCACCCUGUCCUGCACCCCCUCCCAUUCCCAGUUUUUGAUUAUCACUAUUCUCCUUUUGGGUCCUUAUUUUUAAAAUCAUUUUCUGUCUCUUUACUUGCUCAACUAUCCUCUCUUGAGGUCCACUGAGGAUAAAAAUUCACAUGCUUCUCUUUAUAAGAUGAAUUCUAUGACCUGUCCACUCUAGUGAUAAUGUAUCCAUUUGGUCUUUGAGCUUAUUUUGUCUUUGUAAUUAAAAGUUCUCUUUUCAUUAGCUGUGUAAAGAUUUGUGUUCUUUAUAUCUAUGCAGAAAAAAUGAACAAUUGUGUUCUCAAUGUCGACCCAAAGGGUUUUAUAAAUAAUGCACAUACAAUUUGUGAGUUGUGUUUUCAUUAACCGCAGGCCCCUUGUUUCUUUCUGGAUAUCCAUUACAUUCUAAGCAUGCAAAGUUGCCAGAUAACUUAGGCUCAGCCACUAAACAGAAAAACCGUAUGCACAUUUUUAGAUUUUUAAGAUUUCAUAUCCUUUGAAUAUUUCAGGAUUUUAAGUAAAUGCUACUCUUUUAUACAUCCUGAAACUUGUACCUAAUUUUACCCAUAUUUAACCAAGUUUUUAAAAUAUAUACAUGUUGUAAUUGCACAUGUGUUACACACUCAAAAAAACAAAGCACUCUAGCCAUGCACAAAUAGAAAAGCAGUUGAUCUCAAUACUUAAGCUAUAUAUUGAAUUCAAAAGUAGUUUAUGAAGGCUACAAUAACCUUUGAAAAUUUUAGUACUGCAUUUUCUUAGGAUUGUGUUGUUGUUGAAUUAACCUGAUAUUUCAGAAUGAGCAGUGUUAGGAUGGUCACAGAGUUCAAGUGCAUUCAUUUAUUUUACAUCUAGCUCAUAACUUGCUAUUAGUAGUUACCAUUAUGAAAACCAAAGACAAGUGGGAUUUUGAUACCCAUGAUUUGUUUGCAAAUAUUGCUUCAGAUCCCUAACCCAGUUAACUGCUUUAUGGGUUUGAGCCAGGUUAUGAAAGAAGGAUUGAGAGGUUGAGCAUGGUGGCUUAUUCUUAUAAUCCCAGCUACUCUGGAGGUGGAGGUAGGAAGAUCUCCAUCUGAGGCCAGCCCACGUGAAGCUAGCCUGAGACCCAUUCUGAAAAAAAUAAGCUGAAAGCAAAAAGACCUGGAGGCUUGCAGGUGGUAGAACACUUGCUGGGCAACUGCAAGACUCUGACUCAUUCCCCAGUACUGCAAAAAAUAAAAACAAAACAAAACAAAAAAAAACGGAAGGAAAAAGAAAGGACUGAGGGGCUUGGGGUGUAGCUUAGAGGUAGAGCCCAUGCCUAGCCAUACACAUGGCCUGGGGUUCCAUCCUUAGCACUGAAAAGAAUAAAUAAAUAGGUAAAUAGAUAAAAAUAAAAGUUAAAGACUUGGAUAUGCCAGUAAGAAGUAGAUCACUCCCUAAGUUACACUUCUAGUCUUAAUUUCCACCAGAUGUUCAUUUUAGCCAAACAAACAACAUAGUCAUUGGCCUUAUGAUUUCAUACAUUUUUUAUUAAAAGUGUCGAGUAUUUAAAAUCCUUUGACUAGAUAAGAAGUAUGUGGUGCCAGGAGGAGAGUGACUAACCCUGUGCAAUGCAUGUCACGACACAGGAGACCCCCAUUUCAGAUGAAAUUUAUCUCUUCUCUCCCAGGCUUCCAGGAGCCUUCAAACAGCUAACCAUUCUUUUUUCCUUUCUUUUUCCAACAGUACUGGAGUUUGAAUUUAGGACUUUGUGCUUGUUAGGCAGGUAUUCUCCCACUGAGUCAUGUCUCCAGCCCUUUUUGCUCUGGUUAUUUGGAGUUUAGGGUCUUGCUUUUUGCCCAGGCCAGCCUGGACUAAGAUCCUCCUAUUUUAAGCUUCCCCCCCAUCACUGGGAUGACCAACAUUCACCACGCCCAACUCCUUUCCAUUGAGAUGGGGUCUUGUGAACCAUUUGCUGGCCUGGCCUUGAACCAUGAUCCUCCUAAUCUCAGUCUCCUAAAUAGGUAGGAUUACAGGUGUGAGCCACUGUGAGUGGUUUAGCUAACAGUUCUUAAGGAUGCUUCAGUGAGAAGAUGAAUUGGAGAACAAAUGGAAACAAAGUAACAUGAAGGUGAAUAACAGUAAGCAAGCUUUGUGCUGUGCCCACCCCACCCUAGCUCUCCCAGACUCCCAAGAAGUACUUGUGUUCCCUGCUCUCAGUGGAGGAAGUAAAUUUCAUUUGGAAAGUGAAGGUGUUUGACCCUGAAGACUGCUUAGGGCAAUGGCUAGAAAAAGAAGGGGCAGCACUGGUCUUAAGUAACUGCUGUGUGACCUUGUGACACUCUAUGUCUCAUUCAUUCAAAUGGAGGUUGGACUGGAACUUUCCAGGGUCCCUAGAAAUGUAAUGUGAAGAUUCAGAGCUUGAAAAACACUUGGUCUUCCUUGGUAAGGAGGCCCUGUGUCAGAAAGGUAGUGGUCAAGGUAGGGGUGCGAGAAGUUAGAAAUGACUGCGUGUGGAGAUUUUUAAGUGUCUUCUCAAUGUCCCUGCUUAUUUCUGUUUAAAUGUGCAGACUGUUUCUUCCUUCUCUGUUGACUCAUCAUUAUUCUUUGUCUUCAAUCUUUUAUUUUGGAAAUUUUCUUCCAUCUCUCAGAUCUUUAAGCCCUUCUAGUUUUUUUCUUUUUUUAAAUACUUAAAUGUUCUUUAGCCUGAUUUAUUCUUAUUUUUAGGGCUUUGUGUUUUUGUUUUUCUUCUGAUGUGAAACCCCAAAGUGGGACAUACUAACAAAUUCCCUCGGGUCUGAGAUAGCAGAACUUUCCUCUUCUGGACACCACAGGGAGACUUGGGGGCUCAACUGUUUUUGCCCAUUAAAUUGAUCGGCUCAGUGCCAGGCAUUCAUUCGCCACUGUUAGCAGUUAUUUCCUGAGCACUUACAGUGUGCCAGGGGUUGGCAUAAGUGUUAGGGAAAGAGCAUUGAAAACCAAAAUCCCUACCCUCAUUGAGCACAUGUCCUAGUGGAAUGGUGUUCACCCACCCCAGUGAUGCUCUUGACCUUCAACCCUAUAUAGGCUGUCAAGUGCUUCCUUAAGUGAUGGGACUUAAUUUACCUGCCAUGGUCUCUCUUAGUUGCUUUGGGUAUGUGUUUUGGGGUGAGGGAGGUGCUAAGAAAAUUUAUGUUCUACUCGCUUAGUAAAUGACAAGUAUAUGAUGUUGUGAUGUACUUUUUUUUUUGGUGGUACUGGGGUUGAACUUAGGGCCUCAUCUUGCUAGGCAGGUGCUUUACCACUUGAGCCACUCCACCAGCCCUAAAUGACAAGUAUAUGAGCCAGUAAUAUUAACUACAGUCACCUUGCUGUCUGUUAGUUUCUGAAAACUGAUUCACCUCAUCACUACAUGUUUCUACCAUCUCCAACAUCCCCCUACUUCCCCCAGCCCAGUAACCACCCUUUUCUUUCUGUUUCCAUGAGCUUGACUUUGUAUCAAAACACCACGUUGCACACCUUGAGUAUUUUAUUUGUCAAUUAUACCUCAGAGAUGCUGGUUGGAAAAUCUGCCUAAGUAGGUGCUUGUUACAUUUCGUAUCUACCUAGUUGCCUGUUCUACCUUCUGAGAUUUCCUUAUAACUUACACUAAUUGUGUUCUUAGGCUUUUUCUUAAUCUGCUCAGUUUAGGUGGCAACAAAUCAACUCCCUCUCUCUGCAAUAUAUUUUUAAUCUGUGUUCUCUCCACAUCCCAUAAAAUGUUGAUUCAUGACUAAGGCAAAAGUUGAUGUUGAUCUCAUUUAGCUAGGAUGUGACAGAUAUAAAUCACUGAAUUAAUGUCUUCCUUACUUUUAGUCUUUUUCUCAAAACAUUAUUAUACUUACCAAAACUAAAACUAAAAGUAAUCUUGUCUGAAGACUGAAGUGAUUUUAGAACUGCUUUAGUAACUUAGACUGCUGUGCAGUGUAGACAAUGUAUCUUACAGCUGAAACUUUGGAGUCUGUCAUAGUUCUUCCUGCAUUUUUUAAAAAGAUCAUUCUUCCAGUCAGCUCUAGCAGCAGAAGAAGCCUGUUUGAUACAAGCUAUCAUGUCCACUGCCUUCUUCCCAUGUACUGCUUUUCAUUUGAAUUUUGCACAAGUUGAAAGAGCCUGCUUGGUUCAUAGGGCUAGCGACAUUUCAACAUUUGUCCUUCACCAGAUAAUUAUUUCAUUAAAAGUAAAUUACAAUUUAGUCAAGUGCUCCAGAUGAAUGUGAUAAGCAGCUGGUAAAUGGAUGCUCUAAGAGCUGAGGAAACAAAUUUCCUUGGUGGUUUAGUGGUUUUAGUGGCUGAGCUAAUUUUUGUACAUGCAUGGAGCAUCUCUCCGGCUAACGUGAGAGCUGCUGCUGAUGUCUCCAAUGAAUGAACUCAGACUUUGAAACAAAGUAAAAGAUUUACAGGUGAGUUAGGGCAGAGGAAGCCACACGUGUGUGGUAGGAGGUUAUGUGGCAGAUGACCAUUGUGAAAGGCAAUUUUGUUCGGUUUUAAACUGAGGUCCAGGAAUGGGCUUUGGAAGGUUGGAAUAGCUCCCAAAAACAAUAUGAAAAUGUUCCUUUUUCUGAAAGCUCAUUUAAUGAGCAGUGGAUUAUUGGUUUCAUCACUUUUCUUAAAGGGGCUGUGACUCAUGAGCAGCUGAAGUCACAUUCUUCUGAUUAUCUGUAUAGAAGCGAGGGGCUCACACAGCUGCACCUCCCCCUCAUAGCUGUUUUGGUUGGGGGCAUCUACUUACUGAGUCAAGGUCCGGACCCCACAGGGCCAGAUCACUUUGUCCAUAAGAACUAAGCAUAGAAAUGAUUUAACUGGUGCUGUUGUGUAGGGUGGCUCCCAGCCACAGGUAGCUGUUAAGUGUUUAAAAGUACAGCAAUUGUAGCCAGAGUAUAGAGGCACACAUCGGUAUUAUAUCUCUAAUUUGUCCAUAACAGAUGCACUGGCUGCCUUAUUGUGCCUUUCUAGUUUUGUGUUUGGGCUUAAGGUCAUGGAGUUCGGUGAAAAAUUAGUUGAAAUUGUCUUUUGUUUGCUUUCACUUUUAACUUUUUACGACUUUGUGGAUAUAAACUAGUGAUGUCCUUGGGAAAUCAGGGUGUGAUGUGUUUAAUUAAGACACUUUCCUGUGAUGAUGGCUAGGAUAAGAUCUUGUAUUUACCAAGUGAGCCAUGUGAAACACUCAUCAUUAGUUCUUUCAUUUAUUAUUUUUGAAUACUUACAGUGGUCACUCAAAAUACCAUGUAUUGGACUGGGCAUGGAUGUCACUUAAGUGGUAGAGCACUCACUAGCAUGCUUGAGGCCCUGAGUUCUACCCCUAGCACUGCAAAAAAAUAUAUCUACAACUCAUGAGCCUCUGACAGUUUCACUGUGUACAGACUCAGGACUCCUGAUGGGAAGAAGAGACUUUGCCCACAUGAACCCAUGCAAGUCACUUAAUCUCUCCAGAGUUUGCACAUCUAGAAAAUGACUUGUUGGCCUAUACCAGCUCUAAGCUUCUUGGCUUUUACUUAUAACCUUUAUUAUUAAAAAUGAACCUACCACAGAGGAGGAUAGGACGUAUUGUGCAGUAUAGGUCCAGAAGGGACUAGGCUGGGACCAGUAGCCAGGUGUCCCAGGUUGUGGUCUCCACCCUUGUCCCUGGGCUUGCAACCUGGGGUUGCUGAGAUAUCCUUUGGAGGCCUGGCGAACAUGGAAUCUGAUUUCUAGGCAUCCUACUAUUUGUGCGGUUCAUCUGUGAGAGUGAAUUGGAAACCUUUUGUGUCUUUAUGUGUGUGCUCAUGCCAGUAAUCACUCCCUUUGCAACCUGGGCUGAGACCUUAGUGGCCACCCAGGGGUUUCUUUGUGCUAUUGGCCUUCCUGUCUGUCUUUUUUUCUAAAUAGUACUUGGGAAGGACCCUAGGGUGUCACACAUGCUAAGCAAGUGCCAUACCUCAACUGUGCCCGCAACCCCCCUUUCAGCCUUUCCAUGUUCUACUCAGUCUAGAAUGCCCCUCCCAACCAACCCACUCAGUUUUUCCUCUGGUUACCUACUGCCUUGCUGGGAAAUUCUUCCUGGGCUGAACCCCCACCCUCUUCCAGCUCUGACAGUGCUUUGCUGGGUUUUAACUGGCAACAUGGGCAAAGUACCCGUGCCCUUGUAUGUAGAAUAGUGUGUAGGAUAACAGGACGGGUAAGAUGGUGCUCCAUUGUACUUUUUCCACUGAAAUGAGAUUCUUUAAAGCAUGUUUUUCAGAAGUGUAAGAUUUACCUGUUUCUUUAUGCAGUAACCUUUUGUUAAAUACAUAACUACAAAAGCAGGAAUAACUCCUACGUCCCUCUCUUUAACCCUUGCAUGGAGAGGAGAUGAAUAAAUGGGUUUAAAUGGAUUAGUGACUGAGUAUCAAAAACACUUCAGCUCAGCUGUUGAGCUGAAUGGGCUUUUUAAAAUAACCAACCCAGUUGACUAUCCCAGAUGCCACCUGGCCUUAUUUGGUGUGUCAGAAGGGUGGUGAAUAUUUAGGGACAAUAUAAGGAGAGUCCUCCUGUUGUUUUUCCUCCUCUUUCCUAUUUCUCUCUUCCCCUCCUCCUUCCUCUUCCUCUCCUCUCCUUUCCCUUUCUUUUCUUCUCCUUCUUUCUUUCUCUUUUCUUCUCCUCUUUCCUUUUCCUCCCUUCUUGUUUUUCUUCUAUUUUCUCACAUUCUCUUUUCUUUUGUUCCCUCUCUUCUUCCAUCUGCAAGUAAUAAGUCAAGACAUAACAGCGUAACAAUGGACAUCUGCACCAACUGUAACUCUGGCUUCAUAUGGAAACAUUUCUACUGAGGUGCUGAAAAUCUCCUCAAACAUGUGCCCUUAAGCAAAUGAAGUAUAUAAUAGAAUAUAAACAUGGGUGACCGAAAAAAUUAACUGAAGUGUGUGUGCAUAGUGUUUUCUAUGCAUAGUGUCUUUCUUGGUCCUCAGAGAAAUUUAAAGGCUGUCACUCAUUUUAAGAAUUUUUAGUUUAAAUUCUAUCACCUCAGGGUAUGACCAUUGUCUGUCCUCUGUUGAAUUGUCCAUCCAUGGUAGGUAACACAGCAAAACUGCCACUUCCAGCAUAAAAUGCCCUCCUGCAUGCUUCUGGAGCAUUAGAGCCUAUGGUGAUCUUUUUGUGUCUGCAUUAAAAUAUCUGUUGGAUGAAAGAGCCAUUUGUGGGCUGAGCAUGUAGUUCCAUGGUGGAGGCUUGCAUAGCAUGCCUAAGGCCCCAGGAUGGGAAAGGGGGACCUCCUUUGUAGCCUGGAAGGAAUGGAGCAGCAGAGGGCUUGGGGCAGAGCCUAGUGUUUAUAAAAAGGCCCAGUAGUUCUCUGGAGUCUGCCUGGGCCAUUGUAUCUGGAUGUCACACAUGAGUAACCUGAAGGCAUUUGGGCUUUGCUACAGAGGAGUCUGGCAUUGUGAGUGUGUGUGAGAAGCAGAGCUGAGGAGGGCUUGGGUCUGACCCUGCUUUGACUUUUGUUUUGUGCAGUUACUAAUCCAGAAAAAUCCUGCCUGAGGCCCUGGAGGCUGCAUCUUUUCAGCCAGGUUUUGUUUUGUCAGGGAGCUGAAAACAGCCUGUUGUAGUCAGAAAAGACCAUGUUUCCUUUCUACAGCUUUAUGACAAAGUAAAACUUGAGUGUGACCAACUAUGUAAUAAACCCCUUUCCCCAAGCAUUGUGAGUUGAGGUCUUGAUUUCUAAUCUGAACCAUGUGCAGCUGUUGGUGUUUGGCUCCUUGUAGAGUUUUGAGGAAAAUCAAUGUCUUAAACAUUCUCCCAGCCUGAAGAGGCCAGGAUUAGCCAGCCUCCCAUGGGGACAUUCCUCGCCACCUUGUCUGAGCAGCCUGAUGUCCCUACACACGUCUUGCAGAAGUGCAUCUGUGACCAUCUUAUCACUGAUUAGAGGUCAGCAGGACAUCUUUGUGUGGCCCAUGAUAAUGAUGCUGGGAUUUUAGGACUUGCAAACCUCUUAAUGUCUUGGCCAGAUUGUAGAAUAUUCUAGCAGGCACCAGUGUCUAAAACAAAUAUCCCUAUUUUCUAGCAAAUUGGGCCUGCUUUGGCUAGCUUUGUUCUUUCCCUUGUUGUGUAGACUCAUACACAGAACUGAAUUUGAGAAGAAUCUAAUCCCUAUUGAAAAUAUAGAGCCCACCAGCAAUAGGUAGGCAGUAUGCUUUGCAGGGAGGGUAUCCAGAAAUCUCUUGAUCACGGUCACCUAGUAGGAUUCCCUUCAAGGAAUCUCCAAAAAUAGUUUACCAUCUCCUUCUUUAUGGCCAUUUUCUAAUUUAGAGGGCAGAAUUUUUUAAUACGAACUUGAUUAUUCACUAGUUGGCUUAGGUUUAAAUAGUCAGACUCAUGGAGAAUACCAUGGAUGCUCACAUAUAUACACCUGUUGAGGACCUUAGCACAUGAGAGAAUAUUCUAGAACCAGCCAAUGACUGCCUCUGUGUGGACCUCACCCCAGGAAGGAAAAUAGCAUUGUUUGAGUAUACUCUGUAUUCUGUUAUUUUAGGAUUAGGCAAAAGAAUUGAGUAACAUUUUAGUUCAAAUUUAAAGCAAAACUUGUGCUAUUUUUUUUUUUUCGGUACUAGGGUUUGAACUCAGGGACUUCACCUGAGCCACUCCCUCCACCAGUCUUAUUUUGGUGAUAGCCACGGACUAUUUCCCCUGGCUGGCUUUGAACCACUAUCCUCCUGAUCCCUGCCUCCUGAGUAGCUAGGAUUAUAGGCAUGAGCCACCUGCGCCCGGCUAACCUGUUGCUCUGAAGUGAAAUGUAUGACCCGCCAUGACUUGUCAGGGAGGGAAAACUCUUUCUUUACCUUCUUAAAUUAAAUGACUGGGGGCUUGCAAAUUUAACUGACACAAGUCAGAUUAACAAGAGAAAAAAAUUAGGAUUUUUAAAAAAUAUCUUACAUGUGUGGAAGUUUAUAGAAAAGCAGUAAAACUUGUAGAAGAGGUUAGAUUUGAAAGUUUAUAUGCUCUUCUUAAUAAAGGAAAGAGGGUUUGGGCUUCAAGGAAUGGUAAGUUACAGGGAUAUGACCAGGGGCUAGAUGGGCAAAACUACUGACAGAUAAAGAAUUAUCUUAGCUAAUAUUUGUCCAUGCAGAUGUAUCUCAGGCCACCUAUAUCUCUGGUCAUGAGUUGUUCCCUUCCCUUUACUGGAGAGGGCGACACUUUCGCAAUGAGAAGUUGAUAUUCUGUUUUUAGACAGAAAAGUGAAGUUCAGGUGCUCUUCCUGUAUCUGAAUCUCAGUUGAUUUCAGCUCAAAAUAACCCUUUUGCCAAAAUGACAUAUCUUGAGUAUAUAUUAGUCAGCUGUCAGUUACCAUAACAAGUAUAAAUACCUGAAAUAACCAACUAAUGAGGAGAAAAAGUAUAUGGUUCUGGUUUCAGAAGUUUCAGUACAUGGUCCUUUGGCUGCAUUGCUUUUGAGCCUGUGGAAAGACACCACAUCGUGGUGGAGAAAGAGGAAGAGACUAGAGUCCCACAGUCACCUCUGAGAGCAGCAUCCUCCCUGUACCCACCCUCCCAAAAACCCAAAGAUCUCCCACUAGAUCACACCUUAAAGGUCCUACCACCUUCCAGUAGCACCACUCUGGGGAACAAGUCUUUAACACAUGGGGUCUUGGGGACAUUUAAGGUUGACACUAUAGAAGGGUGGCAUACUCAGGAUCCUUUAUCGCUUUACAUAAAGAAUAUUAAUGCAGUAUAGAAAAUCCUAAAGUGACAUUAUCAAGUUUUCAAAAUGAGAUUUUAUUUAUUUGGAAUCUACAUUGUAUGUCAAUUUAUUGUAUAUUAUAUUUGAUUUUGGGAAAAUUAACACAGUUGAUUAAUCCUUAAUGUUACAGAGGAGGUUUAUUCAUUUGUAUUACAAAUAUAAAGAUAUAAUUUUCUCAAGUAAGUAAAAUUUUGAUAAACCACCUACUUCUAUGCAGAAAUGACUUUGAGUUGAUAAAGGUUUAAGGAGAAACAAACUUUGGGGUUCUUUGGAAGCAUAUUGUUUAGAUGGCACGUUAGGUGGUGUCGUUAGAAGUUGUGUAGGAAGAGCGUUGAUUUCAGAUUCAGCUUACUGGGCUAGGAUGAAUGUGAGAAAGUCAGGGUGGAAGUCUGAAGUGUGGUGAACUAUCAACUUUUCUGCAAAUAGGAUGUUUCAAAUAGACUGCUGUCUUGAAAUUUAGAAGGUGUUAUAUGCAUUUGAUGUUAUGUCUGAUCUAAUGGAAUGCUGUUACUCCCAAAGCUUGGUGCACAGCGAGUGCUCAAUAGAUGUGGAAUGAAAAAAUUAAUGAAUGGUACGGACACACACACACACACACACACACGCACGCACGCACACACACAAAUGAGCUGGAAGAGUUGGCGGUACAAAACCAAAAGAAGCCAGUUUGAUUUCUUCAUCUGCCAAGGUCCCUGGUAAAAAUUUGCUUCUGAUUCAUUCAGACCUUCCCUAGAAGGAAAGUAAUUAAGUAUUUUUGUUCUAAGAAGUUCUAUUAUUACACUACAGAUGCCACAAGGAACAACCACCUUUUGCUUUUUACCAAAAGCAGUGGUUAAACACAGAAGUUUCUUCCAAUAAAAUUGAAACCAAAUCCAUCACUUAUCCAGAGUUGUAUUGCAUUUGCUUUGUGAAUUGGGUGUGGGGGGAAGGCUAAAUAAUCUACCAUUGAAUCUUAAGAAAUUCCUGGGAGAAUUAGGAAAAUUAAGACAUGACAGAUAUCUAGAAAUUGCUUGAUUAUGCUAACACAGAGGCAAUGAGAUCAGUCUUUAGAUGGUAAGGUGACAGGUUGGUUUUUUGUUUGUUGGCUUUCUUUGCUUGCUUUUUGUCUGUACUGUGGUUGAACUCAGGGUCUCGAGCUUGCUAGGCAGGGGCUCUUGUCAUUGACC